GGGUUUGUAGCUCAGUGGAUAGAGCGUCUGCCUACGGCUUCUGAUCAUCUUGACUCGUAUCCUGCGAUUCGAAUCUGGUGUCGGAGCGGCUAGCAGAAGGUCGUAGGUUCGAUCCCUACCUGACUCG